GGUUACAAAGCGCCCGUGCCCACAACCAUUUUAUGUCAAUCAGACCUAUUCCAUAUUUAAGCAGAAAAAAGAUAGUUAUCUCAAGCGACGAACUCGGCAGUCUUUGCAAUGAAAUUGAAGCGGCUUAGUGCAGACUUCUUUAAUAUCUGAAAAACUUAUCUCCGCAUCGCCUGAAGCAAAAGUAGGACAUGGACUCCUUGGGUGAUUAAAGCUAGCUUAGCGUCUAUAAGCCAGUGACGAAGCUGAGAAAUACCCUUUGGUUUUUGUCCUUGCCAAGCUUGUUGGAUGUACUUAUCGAAGAAGACGAGAUCCAGAGGACGUAUAAUUUAGUACGUGCAUAGAAGAGUACGUGCUUACAAGGUAAUGAAGAGGGGAGACAAGGAAGUGGAAAAAGAAGCAA